rnacentral:rRNA from 1 species
UACGUAGGGGGCUAGCGUUGUCCGGAAUUAUUGGGCGUAAAGAGCUUGUAGGCGGUUUGUCGCGUCUGCCGUGAAAAUCCGGGGCUCAACCCCGGACUUGCGGUGGGUACGGACAGACUAGAGUGUGGUAGGGGAGACUGGAAUUCCUGGUGUAGCGGUGAAAUGCGCAGAUAUCAGGAAGAACACCCGUGGCGAAGGCGGCUCUCUGGGACGGUACUGACGCUGAGACGCGAAAGCGUGGGGAGCGAACAGG